rnacentral:rRNA from 1 species
UACGUAGGUGGCAAGCGUUGUCCGGAUUUACUGGGCGUAAAGAGCGCGCAGGCGGUCGUUCAAGUCGCGUGUGAAAGCCCCCGGCUCAACUGGGGAGGGUCGUCGGGGACUGGUGGACUUGAGGGCGGCAGGGGCUGGUGGAAUCCCCGGGUGUAGUGGUGAAAUGCGUAGAGAUCGGGGGGGAACACCCGUGGCGAAGGCGGCCAGCUGGGCCGACCCUGACACUGAGGCGCGAAGGCGUGGGGAGCGAACGGG